GGAAUCUUCGGCAAUGGACGAAAGUCUGACCGAGCAACGCCGCGUGAGUGAAGAAGGUUUUCGGAUCGUAAAACUCUGUUGGUAGAGAAGAACGUUGGUGAGAGUGGAAAGCUCAUCAAGUGACGGUAACUACCCAGAAAGGGACGGCUAACUACGUGCAAG
rnacentral:rRNA from 1 species